rnacentral:rRNA from 1 species
UCCCCCAGUAAUGGCGAAUGAACAGGGAAGAGCUCAGCAUGGAAAUCGGGGUCUCCCGACCUUGAAUUGUAGUCUUGAGAUGUACUGCCAACGGAGGCGCAGAUGUAAGCCUCUUGGAAAAGAGCAUCAACGAGGGUGAGAGUCCCGUUUGUCAUCUGCAGUCCCCCGUGCACGGUGUACCUUCUAAGAGUCACGUUCCUCGGGAUUGGAGCGCAAAGUGGGUGGUAAAUUUCAUCUAAAGCUAAAUAUUGGUUCGAGACCGAUAGCAAACAAGUACCAUGAGGGAAAGGUGAAAAGGACUUUGAAAAGAGAGUUAAAAGUGCCUGAAAUUGCUGAAAGGGAAGCGAAUGGAACCAGUGUUCUUGAUGAGAUUGUCGCGUACUCUGGUGAUUGCUGGGUGCUCCACCGCAAGGGGGGCAUUUGGUUUUGAACUAGCGGUGCGUGGUGUUUCUUGUCUUGUGUGUCACCGUCGGUGCACAAGCGAGUAAAACUCCGGAGAACUGGUAACUCGACCAUGGUUGAGUGAAUGUCUUUGGCAGUACUCAUUUGUGUAUCGAUCCCUGCGUGUCUGGUUGCAGUGUUUGAGUCGUCUGGAAGCUUCUGAAAGGACUUGUCCUCGAAGGACUUUCUAGGCACCUUGAGCAUCUCCC